GUCUUUUUGAUUAUAAUUUAAAGUCUAACCUGCCCAAUGAUUUUUAAAUGGCCGCGGUAUUUUGACCGUGCAAAGGUAGCAUAAUCAUUAGUUUUUUAAUUGAAAGCUGGAAUGAAUGGUUGAACGAAAAAAUUACUGUCUCAAUUUAAUUUAAUUAGAAUUUUAUUUUUAAGUUAAAAAGCUUAAAUUUAUUUAAAAGACGAGAAGACCCUAUAGAGUUUUAUAUUAAAAUUAAUUAAUUUUUUAUAAUAUAUUUUUAUUUUUUUUUAAUAUUUUAUUGGGGUGAUAGAUAAAUUUAUUUAACUUUAUUUUUUUUUAUACAUUAAUUUAUGAUUUUAUGAUCCAAUAUUAUUGAUUAUAAGAUUAAAUUACCUUAGGGAUAACAGCGUUAUCUUUUUAGAGAGUUCAAAUCGAAAAAAAGGAUUGCGACCUCGAUGUUGGAUUAAAAUUAAUUUUUGGUGUAGAAGCUAAAAAAAUUAAGUCUGUUCGACUUUUAAAAUUUUACAUGAUCUGAGUUUAAACCGGUGUGAGCCAGGUUGGUUUCUAUCUUUAAAAAAUUUAAAUAUUUUAGUACGAAAGGACCAAAUAUUUAUAAAAUUUAUUUUUUAUUGAAUAU
rnacentral:rRNA from 1 species